rnacentral:rRNA from 1 species
UACGUAGGGGGCUAGCGUUGCUCGGAAUCACUGGGCGUAAAGGGUGCGUAGGCGGGUCUUUAAGUCAGGGGUGAAAUCCUGGAGCUCAACUCCAGAACUGCCUUUGAUACUGAAGAUCUUGAGUUCGGGAGAGGUGAGUGGAACUUCGAGUGUAGAGGUGAAAUUCGUAGAUAUUCGCAAGAACACCAGUGGCGAAGGCGGCUCACUGGCCCGAUACUGACGCUGAGGCACGAAAGCGUGGGGAGCAAACAGG